AGAGGUUUGGAUCCUGGCUCAGAACGAACGCUGGCGGCAGGCUUAACACAUGCAAGUCGAGCGCUCAGCAAUGAGAGCGGCGCACGGGUGAGUAACACGUGGGAACGUGCCCUUUGGUUCGGAAUAACUCAGGGAAACUUGAGCUAAUACCGGAUAAGCCCUUACGGGGAAAGAUUUAUCGCCAUUGGAGCGGCCCGCGUCCGAUUAGCUAGUUGGUGAGGUAAAGGCUCACCAAGGCGACGAUCGGUAGCUGGUCUGAGAGGACGACCAGCCACACUGGGACUGAGACACGGCCAGACUCCUACGGGAGGCAGCAGUGGGGAAUCUUGGACAAUGGGGGAAACCCUGAUCCAGCCACGCCGCGUGAGUGAUGAAGGCCUUAGGGUUGUAAAACUCUUUCGGCGGGGACGAUAAUGACGGUACCCGCAGAAGAAGCUCCGGCUAACUUCGUGCCAGCAGCCGCGGUAAUACGAAGGGGGCUAGCGU
rnacentral:rRNA from 1 species